rnacentral:rRNA from 1 species
CGUGAGUGAAGAAGGCCCUUGGGUUGUAAAGCUCUUUCGUCGGGGAAGAAAAUGACUGUACCCGAAUAAGAAGGUCCGGCUAACUUCGUGCCAGCAGCCGCGGUAAUACGAAGGGACCUAGCGUAGUUCGGAAUUACUGGGCUUAAAGAGUUCGUAGGUGGUUAAAAAAGUUGGUGGUGAAAUCCCAGAGCUUAACUCUGGAACUGCCAUCAAAACUUUUUAGCUAGAGUAUGAUAGAGGAAAGCAGAAUUUCUAGUGUAGAGGUGAAAUUCGUAGAUAUUAGAAAGAAUACCAAUUGCGAAGGCAGCUUUCUGGAUCAUUACUGACACUGAGGAACGAAAGCAUGGGUAGCGAAGAGGAUUAGAUACCCUCGUAGUCCAUGCCGUAAACGAUGUGUGUUAGACGUUGGAAAUUUAUUUUCAGUGUCGCAGCGAAAGCAAUAAACACACCGCCUGGGGAGUACGACCGCAAGGUUAAAACU